rnacentral:lncRNA from 1 species
GGCCAAUGGAGCGGGAAGCAGGACAAAUGAGGCCCGGCCCGCGCGGCCGACAGGCCCCUCCAUCUUCCCAUUAGCGCCUAAUGGCCCCCCCGCCGCCGCCUGAUGAAGAUUUAUCGGCCCCGGAACCCCCGCCCCCGCCCCGGCCGCCCCGCGCCCGCGGCCGCCCCGCCCCCGCCGCGGACACCUGAUGAAGCCGUCACCCGGCGGGAGGGGCGGCCCGACCCGGCGAGGCCCGCAGACGGCGAGAGAAAGUUCCGAGAGCCCGAGGGAGCCCGGGCAACCCGGAGCCCCGACAGGUCGUCCUCAGCCCUGGGCCCUAGAGCCCGGGACGCGCGUGGGAGCGGGCUGCAGCCCAGGGUCGGGGUCUGGGUCGUGGCGCGAGGGGGACAAAGCUGGGCUCAAGAAUUCGGGGUCUGGGCAGGAGGCUGGGGCCUGGGCCCCGGGUCCGAGGGAGGCGGGCUGGUCCUGCGGGGAAGGGGAGGCCGGAGCCGGGACUCCUGGGCCCCAGGCCGGGAGCUGGUCCCGGGCGCGGGGCGGGGGAGCCGGGUUGGGAGCCCCUGAUUGAUUUCUGUUUACCGGCUGUCCCCGCAGGCGGAAGAGCGAAUCGCGCCCCAUCCAUCAAC